GCGGGUGUAACUCAGUGGUAGAGUGUGUGCUUCCCAAGCACAAAGUCGAGGGUUCGAAUCCCUUCGCCCGCUCCG
rnacentral:tRNA from 1 species